rfam:Gossypium hirsutum cultivar TM-1 chromosome 25, whole genome shotgun sequence
CCUGGGGGCACGCUUUGCUUACGUGGACACAAAGUGCGCUUACGAGGACGGGCUUUGUUGCCAAGUAAGCAAAGCGCGCCCCCGGGG